AUGGGCGCCGGCGGGCGGCUGCCUCCAGAUGUGCCCGGCGAGCUCCUCGGUGUCGCGCUCCACGAGCACCCCGGACUCUACUUCUCCAUCCUCCGGAGUCAUCGGCUCGUCCUACAGGCUGACGCUUCCUUCCCCCAUGUCAUGGAGAAGCUCCAGUCGUACAAGGCUCGUGUCAGCCUCAACUUUGAGGGAUUCCAAUAUCAACUGGGUGAUUUUUGCUUGAGGAUAGGUAAAUGUGUAGAGUAUUAUCCCUUAUCUUCCAUCGAAAAGUCCAGGGCAAUUAUGGUAGACUUCUUUGACAUAUGGCAGGAAACACUUGCAAAGAAGUCGCUGCCUGGUCGAUUCAUCCAUGUAGAGUCUAACUUUUCAGAGUAUGGUCUUUCAGAUCACUACUCUUUCCAGCACACGGCAGUUCAGUACGCUACCUGCUUGCAACAACUCGUUAGAUCUACAUGA
rnacentral:rRNA from 1 species